AUGCAGAUCUUUGCCGUGAUGCGACAAGAGAAAAAGGACCGCCGCCACACCGCUGCCUCAAUCACGCCGACGCCAUCGCCGCCACGACGGAGGACACCGGUCCUCGCUGCUCACAGCCCGCGACUCCAAGCGCCAGAUCUGACGGAACCGACACCAGCCGCCCCGCCAUCACGCCGCACCGGCCCGCCCCGCCACCUUCGCCACGCAGCCGCUGCAGCAUCCACGCACCGCCGCGCCCAAGGGCCGGCCGUCCGAGACGCCGCCGCAACACCCCUAUCGGACUGGGUGUGGAUAGUGGUAGCCCGGAGUUGA
rnacentral:rRNA from 1 species